rnacentral:sRNA from 1 species
CGUACUACAAUGCUACGGACAAAGAGCAGCAAACUCGCGAGGGCAAGCAAAUCUCAUAAACCGUGGCUCAGUUCAGAUCGUAGGCUGCAACUCGCCUACGUGAAGGAGGAAUCGCUAGUAAUCGCAGGUCAGCAUACUGCGGUGAAUACGUUCCCGGGCCUUGUACACACCGCCCGUCACACCAUGGAAGUUGGCCAUGCCCGAAGUCGUUACUUCAACCCGCAAGGGAGGAGGAUGCCGAAGGUGGGGCUGAUUGACUNGGGGUGAAGUCGUAACCAAGGUAGCCGUACCGGAAAGGUGCGGCUGGAUCACCUCCUAACAGGGAUAAUAAACAUUGAAUGAUGAUUACCACUUUUGUGUAGUCCGUUUAACUGUUCAUCUCUAGGUCGAUCGGUACCUCAGUAAUAAUAAAUCAUUAAUUUUACUAUUAAUUUAGUGAAGUUAAUAUGAUUUAGAAGUUAUCUCGGUCCUUAAGCUUGUCUAGGUCACACCCAUGGCUGCUAGGCUAUGGACAAUGGGCCCGAAAGGGUUCCUGGGCCAUUAGCUCAGGUGGUUAGAGCGCACCCCUGAUAAGGGUGAGGUCCCUGGUUCAAGUCCAGGAUGGCCCAUUCAACAUCUGAAAAAGGUGAUUGGGGGGUUUAGCUCAGCUGGUAGAGCGCCUGCUUUGCAAGCAGGAUGUCAGCGGUUCGAGUCCGCUAACCUCCAUGGAAAAGUGAUCUAGAAGGUAAUGGUGAAACCAGCCUCGUUUAAUUUUUAUAAUUUAUAGAUUAUAGAGUUUAAACGAUGCUGGGCUCAGCAAUGGGGUUCAGCAAAGAACCUUGACAACUGCAUAGGUGAAUCUGUAAAUAAGCAUCUAACAGAUGAUACAGAGAGUAUUUAAUUUAACCGAAGGUUUAAGUUAAGUAUAAUUUGUAUUAAUCAAUUCUGUAGAAAGCUGAGAUCUAAUUAGUUACGGAAAUCUUUUUUUCACGAAGGGGAUGAAAGUAAUUAGUUAGGUAAAUAAAUGGUCAAGUUACAAAGGGCUCACGGUGGAUACCUUGGCACACAGAGGCGAUGAAGGACGUGGUUACCUGCGAUAAGUCUCGGGGAGCUGGAAACACGCUUUGAUCCGGGAAUUUCCGAAUGGGGCAACCC